GAUACAGGAAAUACGGUAAGAGCGAACCGGGAAGAAGCCAGCUCUGUGCCUGGAGGGGACCCGCCGCCAUCUCAGGUCUCUAGGCCUUGCCAGGGCCCACCGGAGAAAACUGACGCCCAGAAUCUAUAAUCCUUAUGGGGGACCAACCUUGUGCCUCCGGUAGAUCCACGCUCCCACCUGGAAACACGCGGGAAGCCAAACCUCCAAAAAAGCGCUGCCUCCUUGCUCCGCGGUGGGAUUAUCCAGAAGGAACUCCCAACGGAGGUAGUACCACUCUCCCCUCCGCACCUCCUCCGGCUUCAGCCAGCCUGAAGUCGCACCCUGCUCCUCCUGAGAAGUAGUGAAAUAUAUUUCACCCACCCCAAACCAGUUUAUGAGGGAUUGCAGUAUGAAUCCAUUUCAUUGGUGCAUUCAUAAAAUAGUUCACCCAGUGAAGACAACGAAGAUUAUUUACAAUGCUAUCCUGCUAUUUCCGAUGUCCUGCACCUGGAACUUGUAAUUUUUAAGUCAACUUAUGAUGUAAUCAGAGGGAUUUCACUUCCUGAAUUUGGAUGAAUUCUAGGACAUGCACAAGAUCAUUUUGUAAACCUCUAAGAUUGUAGAUCCAUGGCCUGGAUCAUGGUGAACUCAUCAAAGCAAAUAAUGCCUGUAAGAUCGUCCUGCAGCAGCCAAUCAAUGUUCUCUUUUGGUGACACCUAGUCCUUGAUGUAUAACUGUAAAUUCCUAUAAAUUUAUUAAGGUCCCAAUAAAUUUUGUCUCUAACUGAUGUGUUACAUCUAUAUGACUACUAGCUAGUAAAUUGUGAAUUUUAAAUAAAUAUUUUCUAAGAACUCCAAAUAUAAAAUAUUAUUAAAAUUGGUGUCAAAAUAUGA